GAUAAACGCUGGCGGCGUGCCUAAUGCAUGCAAGUCGAACGGGAGCCUCUUCGGAGGUCGACCGUGGCGGACGGGUGAGGAGCACGUAGCUGACCUGCCCUGGUGUGGGGGAUAUCCGCGGGAAACCGCGUGUAAUACCGCAUGUGCUUCAUUGGAGGGAUCUGAUGAAGGAAAGAAGUAAUUCGCACCAGGAGGGGGCUGCGUCCGAUUAGCUAGUUGGUGGGGUAACGGCCUACCAAGGCGAUGAUCGGUCGCUGGUCUGAGAGGACGAUCAGCCACACGGGGACUGAGACACGGCCCCGACUCCUACGGGAGGCAGCAGCAAGGAAUUUUCCACAAUGGGCGCAAGCCUGAUGGAGCAACGCCGCGUGGGGGAUGACGCACUUCGGUGUGUAAACCCCUUUUCGAGGGGACGAAGGCAAUGACGGUACCCUCGGAAUAAGGAUCGGCUAACUACGUGCCAGCAGCCGCGGUAAGACGUAGGAUCCGAGCGUUGUCCGGAGUUACUGGGCGUAAAGCGCGCGCAGGCGGACACGCGCAUCGGCGGUGAAAGCCCCCCGCUCAACGGGGGAGGGUCCGUCGAGAUGGCGUGUCUGGAGGCAGGGAGAGGCCAGUGGAAUUCCGGGUGUAGUGGUGAAAUGCGUAGAGAUCCGGAGGAACACCAGUGGCGAAGGCGGCUGGCUGGACCUGACCUGACGCUGAGGCGCGAAGGCGUGGGGAGCGAACGGGAUUAGAUACCCUGGUAGUCCACGCAGUAAACGAUGGGUACUAGGUGUGGCGGGAGUUGACCCCUGCCGUGCCGGCGCUAACGCAGUAAGUACCCCGCCUGGGGAGUACGGCCGCAAGGCUAAAACUCAAAGGAAUUGACGGGGGCCCGCACAAGCAGCGGAGCGUGUGGUUUAAUUCGACGCAACGCGCAACACCUUACCACGGUUUGACAUCCACCGAACCUGCCUGAAAGGGCGGGGUGCCUUCGGGAGCGGUGAGACAGGUGCUGCAUGGCUGUCGUCAGUUCGUGUCGUGAGAUGUUGGGUUAAGUCCCGCAACGAGCGCAACCCUCGCCCUUAGUUGCCAUCGGUUCGGCCGGGCACUCUAGGGGAACUGCCGGUGAUAAGCCGGAGGAAGGCGGGGAUGACGUCAAGUCCUCAUGGCCCUUAUGGGCUGGGCUACACACGUGCUACAAUGGCGGUGACAAUGGGCAGCAAGGCCGCGAGGCCGAGCCAAUCCCAAAAAGCCGUCUCAGUUCGGAUUGUUCUCUGCAACUCGAGAGCAUGAAGGUGGAAUCGCUAGUAAUCGUGGAUCAGCACGCCACGGUGAAUACGUUCCCGGGCC
rnacentral:rRNA from 1 species